rnacentral:rRNA from 1 species
UGCAGUGGUUGUCGUCAGCUCGUGUCGUGAGAUGUUGGGUUAACGUCCCGCAACGAGCGCAACCCUUGUGUUUAGUUGCAAACAGGUCAAGCUGUGCACUCUAGACAGACUGCCGUGGACAACACGGAGGAAGGUGGGGAUGACGUCAAAUCAUCAUGCCCCUUAUGAUCUGGGCUACACACGUGCUACAAUGGCCGGUACAACGGGCAGCGAAGGAGCGAUCCGGAGCGAAUACCUAAAAAGCCCGGUCCCAGUUCGGAUUGCAGGCUGAAACUCGCCUACAUGAAGUUGGAGUUGCUAGUAAUCGCGAAUCAGAAUGUCGCGGUGAAUGCGUUCCCGGGUCUU